rnacentral:rRNA from 1 species
CCUACGGGUGGCAGCAGUGGGGAAUAUUGCGCAAUGGGCGAAAGCCUGACGCAGCGACGCCGCGUGAGGGAUGAAGGUCUUCGGAUCGUAAACCUCUGUCAGCAGGGAAGAACGGUCACUGCGAUAAUCAGCAGUGAAUUGACGGUACCUGCAAAGGAAGCACCGGCUAACUCCGUGCAAGCAGCCGCGGUAACACUGAGGGUGCGAGCUUUAAUCGGAAUUACUGGGCGUAGAGCGAUGGUAGGGUGUAUGUCAAGUCCAGGGUGAAAUCCCCGCGCUCAACGUGGGAACUGCCUUUGAAACUGGCAAACUUGAGUGUGUGAGAGGAUAGUGGAAUUCCAGGUGUAGGAGUGAAAUCCGUAGAUAUCUGGAGGGACAUCAGUGGCGAAGGCGACUAUCCGGCACAUAACUGACGCUGAGGAGCGAAAGCGUGGGUAGCGAACAGGAUUAGAUACCCCUGUAGUC